rnacentral:rRNA from 1 species
GAUGAACGCUGGCGGCGUGCCUAAUACAUGCAAGUCGAGCGAACAGACGAGGAGCUUGCUCCUCUGACGUUAGCGGCGGACGGGUGAGUAACACGUGGAUAACCUACCUAUAAGACUGGGAUAACUUCGGGAAACCGGAGCUAAUACCGGAUAAUAUAUUGAACCGCAUGGUUCAAUAGUGAAAGACGGUUUUGCUGUCACUUAUAGAUGGAUCCGCGCCGCAUUAGCUAGUUGGUAAGGUAACGGCUUACCAAGGCGACGAUGCGUAGCCGACCUGAGAGGGUGAUCGGCCACACUGGAACUGAGACACGUGCCAGACUCCUACGGGAGGCAGCAGUAGGGAAUCUUCCGCAAUGGGCGAAAGCCUGACGGAGCAACGCCGCGUGAGUGAUGAAGGUCUUCGGAUCGUAAAACUCUGUUAUUAGGGAAGAACAAAUGUGUAAGUAACUAUGCACGUCUUGACGGUACCUAAUCAGAAAGCCACGGCUAACUACGUG